UAUUGUAAAGCGCUGGGUUCUAGGUAUGCUAAAUUUCAGAGGUCUCUCUUUAAAUGACUACAAAUGGACUUGUAACUGCCCCUGGGAGGCACAAAAAUAUCAAGUCAGUUUAGUCAAUGUGUAGUUGGUUUUUUUUUACCAUUCAAUGUAGUUGACUUUUAAAUGCCAGCUUGGCUUUAUGGCAAAGGCACUGAUACAACAUCCAGUUCCUGUGUCACAUGCAGCACUAGAGGGCAGAGCUAACAGCUAAUGAGAAAUUAAGGAUGCCUUAAGGUCAAGGGAACGUAUGUUAUAAAGCAGUUAAAUAAAAUCAUAGGAAACAGCUGGUGAACCAGGCUGAGACACAAAAGCCAAAAUAUGAGGUGACUGGUAAAAUGAAUGGCAAAUUAAUUGCAUGCCAUGCUGGAAGCAUGACAAAUAUUACAACCAUGGCCUUGGAUAUCCCCUCAGACCCUGAUUGAGAGCAUUUGCAGCUCUGAGAGACACUUUCCAGCUUUCUGCACACUCACUUCUAGUGUAUUUACUAGCUUCUGUUUGCAAAUGGAAGGACUAAACAUGUCACUCUGUGAAAUAAAGCUGAGGUGCUGGAGCACAGCUCUGCUGCAGGAAGAGAACGUCCUGGAAUGUGCCACAUGCUGGGGAAAGUGACCUGAGAGGCAGCAUCCUGUAAAUUUGUCAGGAUCAGACUCUUCCUGCCUGCUAUUUUCCAUGGGCUUGAUGCCAUGGGUCUCGCAGAUGACUGUAAAGUACUGAAGGUGGGAGUGGAUAGAGGUGUUUGGGGAUCUUUGAUGAAUGCUGGAGUUCCAGUGUUUUUUGUCGGCCCAAGAGUGCAGAGAGUUAUGAGCCAUGCACUCCUUCACAUCUGCACCAUGGAGACUAAGCACAGCUUGCAUGGUCAAGAGGCCUUCGUUCUAAGUCAGCUUUUGGGGGCUAGAAGCUUGAAUACAGCUGCAGAACAAGUUUGGAUCCCCAUAUACAGUGUACUAAAAAUCCACUUUUACUCAAAUGACAUAUUCCAGGUGGAAGUGUUCAUAGAUGAUCCUCAGGUACUAGAUGCCCAUUAUUGUGUGCUUCACAGUGCAUGAGUGUUUUGUGUGUGUGCAAUCAUAUUCAUAUGUAUAUACUUUAUGGCACAGUGCCUUCACAUGUCUUACUCCCUGUGUAGAUGUUUGUAUGCUGUGAAACAGUGUUUUAUAAAAUAUCACCAUUGGCACAUUCACUACUCCCAAGGCAGGCAUAAUCUAUGGAAAGCAUGAGGUAUUCUUCUGUAAUGUAUCACAAAACAUUGUACAAUAUACAGUGAAUAGUUUGACUGAUGUGUACUAUGAAUGCCAGAGGUUCUGAGCAUUUAUACUGGUAUCUAUCCAUCUUAAGUUCCAGAUCUCAUUUUGAGUUUUUGGUU
rnacentral:lncRNA from 1 species